AAUACUAAAACGUUUGUAACUAUCUUGUUUAUGAAGUGAAUGAGAUGAUAUUCACAGCAUAUGUAGACAAUAUGUGUAUCUAUAUAUUGGUGUAAGAAAAAAAUGCCAACGCACACGCGCAUGCGCGUGCAACGUUUUUAAAUUUUCAAUUUUUAAAGGACGAUAACGUUUUUGUUUUUCAUCAAAUUCUAUUGAUAUUAAUGGUUUAGAUGUGUCUUGUUACUCCUUACAAAUUGUUGUGGUUAGAAUUACUGCUCAGCACGUGCAUGCACGUGUGCUGAAUUCUGAUUGGACGAUUUUAAAAUCGCUAUAACUUCCUUGUAUUUGGUGGAAACGUUAUGAAAUUCACACUGUGGGUAUAUGAUACAAAUGCCUGUUGAACGACAUCAACAAAAAUUCGGAAUCAUACACGCGUGCACGUGUAUGCGCGUGCAACGCUUUCUUUCAUUUUUUUUGGUACUGAAAUGAGCAUAUUGAACGUACUACAUGUAAUUAAAGGCUAAAAUAAAAUGAUUUUUUCCUAUAGAUUCACAAGGACAUCACUUUUUAAUUGGGGGAGGUUUGGGGAACAUAUGUAACGGUCCCCGUUACAAUUAGAACUAGUUUGGGGUUGGGUUUUUUUUUUUAUUAUUUUUUUUUUAUUUGGUGUGAUAUAAAAAUGCUAUAUGUUACAUGUAUAUUGAAUUACCACGUCGAUCCCAGUCAACAACUCUCGAUCGGGAUCGGAAUACGAAAUAAAAUUUCUUAUAUCCGGUUGCAAAGUGAAACUUCUUCUAAAGAAAGUCACAAAAUAGACACAAAAUGCGUGUACUUUAUUCAUUACCGUUACCGAACUUUAGUCGGUGAAAAUCUCGAUAUGGCAUGUUUCACUGCGCUUGUUGACGGUAAGGUCCACAUUUUCUACAGCAGUUCAGAAGUUUUUUUAAGAACUCUAACAGAUUUUAAUCGGACCUAUAUAUCAUAAUUUUAAAAUAUGUUUUGCAUUUUAUGCCUGAUUAUGUACUUACAUGAACCUAAACAUAUAUUGUAUAUUAUCAUAAUUGUACAUUAUAACUGAUAUUAUAUUUUCUGUGUUACGACAAUCUUUAUUUGUACAUGUAUAGUAUAAUAUAUUUUGUAUACGGGAGAGGUUGUCUAAGUUGCUAGAUUUUGUAACCAAUCCUUUUGUAUAUUCAUACAAUAAAAUAUGUUCAAAUCA